UAUCGGGGGUUUUCCCCUGCGGUAAGUAAUUCUAGAUCAUAGCGAUCGGCUUGCACGAGAUGAUAACCCCAUUUCCUUCGUUUCCUAACACUUUCUAUUUGCAUGCCUCCUGCCGCACGAGCUCGCCGACCUACGCGUCGAUCCGGUUUUAAGUGGCAAGCGGGAUAAGGGAUAGAUCUAGUACACCGCAUACCAUCCGACCGAUUUCCCCAAUCGGUAGCACACCUCACUAGUCGAGGGGGUUUCCCCUGCGCUCGCCGACCUACGCGUCGAUCCGGAUUUAAGUGGCAGCGGGAAAAGGAAUCUACAACGCCAACCAUCCGACAGUGUUCACGAUAAGAAAGGAAACGUCUCUUAUCGUGGGGUUUCCCCUGCGGUAAGUUAUUUCACAUCACCAGUACAAGACGGUAACAAAAUUUGUAAACUUAAAUGUUUCUUUUUUUUUGCAUGUUCCCUACCGCAUGAGUUCGUGCUACAUGUUGGAAUUACACGCGAAAUGAUAGAGAAUCGUUUUUCAGUACACAUGCCACAACACACUAUCGGUAUUCGUUUUCCUUCAUCUAACUGUAAGAAACAGUCACUGCGCAACAUCCUACGAUAGCCAAGCAUAUAGACGAAACAUUAAUGUUGUAUCAUGCUAACCCGUGACAGGCAAGUGCUCAGUAACUCACGCACGUCCUUCAACGCACACAUCAUGAAACAUCUGGUGAAUGAGAUUGCUGAGCAAAACACUUACCAAAUGGAAUAGAAUGGAUGAGUUUAUUUUAUGCAUCAUGUACCUCCCUUUUUGCCUUAUAAUGUGACCAGUGCCUUAUUUUUUUCUUUUGUUUUAUGUUAGCAUAGGAUUAGUAUUAGUAUUAGUUUGGUUUAAUUAGAUAUAAGAUUUUAUUGUGCUAAUAUACGCAUGGACUAUUGAAACACAUAAU